rnacentral:lncRNA from 1 species
UCCUCUUUGGCUCUGGGAAUUUCUCCUCCCACGUGGAGGCCCCCACAGCAGUGGACACCACCCAGCCAGGCCCACCUGACCGGUCAGGCUCAAACCCUCUGGUACCCGCCCCACCCAUAGGACCAGGUGUAAACCAGGCAGCGACACCCCAGACGUGUGGUCUUGGUCAGCUCCCCUGGGCUCCUCUCCCUCCAGCUGGCCCUUCUCUGCCCAGGAAACAGUUUUCUGAAGAGUUCUCCGUUCUCGAGCCUUCCAGCUGCGUGGGAGAGAGUUGACCCCAAGGCUGGGACCACAAGAGGCCAGGGAGGGUGGGCCUGGGAUCUGCAGCUCACGGGCUGUGUGACUGUGGGCACGAGAUUUCAUUUCCUGAUUCAUAAAGGUGGGGACCGAUCAAAGCUACUCCUUGGACCUUUGUGAAGAUUAAAUGAGUUCAACACGGAGCAUUCUUGACCCAUGGGCCAUCCCCAGAUGAGGCUGCAGCAUUGCCCCGUGUGCUCUCAGCUGGUGCCAGUGUUGUCUGGAACUGUCUGGACCUACCUGGAAACUGAGUAUUUCUCUGAAGAAGUCUGCAGCCCUUUGGCAGCGUGGCUGCAGAUGGAAGGAAGGAAACAGUUCGCCCUGGAGAAUGGCUAGGCAGCACCUCUGAGCCGAGCAUCCCACCCGCUCUGACUGGCCCACAAUCGUGGGGCCAGUGGUAUCUCAGAGCCCUUCUGUAAGGAGACCUACAGGGUUUUGUCACUUACAGUGAUUGCCAUGGUCUGAAUGCUUGUGUCCUCCUCGAAAGGUAGGUAUUGAAACCUAAUCACCAAGGUGAUGGUGUUGGGAGGUGGGACCUUCAAGAGGUGGCAAGGUCAUGGGGGCAGAGCCCUCAUAAAUGGAUUGGUGCCCUUAUGAAAGGGGCCCAUGGGAGCCUUGUUUGCCCCAUGUACGGGUGCAGCCGGAAGUUGCUGUCUGAGAGGAAACUGGCCUCCACCAAACACAGCUGGCACCUUGGUCUUGCACUUCCAGCCUCCAGAACUGUGAGACAUGUUUCUGUCAUUUAUAAGCCACCCAGAUCUUUAAUGAUAUUUUUGUUAUGGUAGCCCAAACAGACUAAGACAGAGACCAGAGAACACUUUGGCAGGCUACUUACGUGUUUUAGUCCUGGGGACACUUCAAUCAGUUAGACAUUCCCCAAAGUCCUACAGGGUGAAGGACACAGUUGCUGCCCUGGCCCUGUCACCCAUUGAGACCAGGACACCCCAUUGUGCUGGAGCUGCUACCUGGUUGCCAACACUCAGGCAGCCUGUUCAAUGAGAGCAACUUGCACCACUAUCUUGGUCCACAGAGCCUUCCAAGAUGCGGUGCCCUCCAUCAGCAUAUUGCCACGCCUUUCUCUCCCAGGAUGCAUUGCUGGGAUGGAUGAACAGGGCCAUGCGAUAAAUCCUCUAACGUUGCCACGUCUGUGCUUUUGCCUCCUUUCCUCUCCGUUGUAUGGAGGAAGUUCUGACAGCUCACUUCAUUUCACGUGGUGUGCAAGCUUCUGUCAAACAACGGAACAAACUAUGAGAACCACUUCCAGCCACUGCUUCUGCACACUUCUCUGCUAAGUGAGUCUCUGCUGUGUGAGUCUCAUUGGUAAAACUACCCUGAUCUAACAUUCUGUUACCUCCUUUGUGGUCCAACACUCCAAGAGUCCACGGCCUCAGACGCCCCUGGGUUUCUGCUGAUGUAAAUUGGCAAAAACUUGCAUUCAGUGUGUAUGUGGCUCCUCUUGGGUCUCACUGUGUGUUUAUCCCUCUGCACCCAACUCUAGUCAUGGCUCUGGGAAUAAUGAGGGUCGGUGGAGGUGGAUCUCAAGGGAGAUCUGUCAUCUUGCAAGGCUGUUUCCUCAAGUGAAGCCAUCACAGAUCUUUGGGCACAGUUUUACUCACCUCAGACUCUAAGGAAGAGUCACUUCUGCUUACAGGGAGACUCAGGAAGGUCUAAUGUUCAGGGGACUCAGAGUCAGAGAAAUCCACCCUCUCCAGUUCUCGAGGUCUCAUUCUUUCCAAAUAAAUGCCUUAACUUUGACUUAAGAGAUUUAGUAAGACAUUUAAUUAUUCUUUAGUUGUAAUUCAUUAGCCUGCAAGAUCAAAUUUGUACUCUGCAUUUAAAAAAAAAAGUUGACUCUACAGCUACAAGAACUAAAAUGGUUUUUUUAGGACAGCUAUAGAAGGGCUCUGGUUCUCUGUCUAUACCUUCAGCUGAGCACUUAAGGCCACAGCUUGUCAUUUUCUUUGUCAGUUCCCCAGUGCAAUAAGCAGCAGCCACCCCAUGCCACAUCCUUGUAUGCAUGGUUUCCAUCCACAUCCUAAUGUCCUAUUGCAAGAGCCCCCUGGUGUCUGAAACCCAGGCUUGUGAUGGGCACUGCAUCGCAGAGACCUCAAGGUAAUGAUUUUACCAGUGACAAUGUUUAUAGAUUAUCUGCAUCCUGCUUCCCACUCCUCACGUGGUCCUCACUGACAUCAGACAAAACCUGGUCUGUCCAAUUACUAACUCCAGAUUCCCAUCUUCAAGGUUCUGCCUUCCUGGAAACACUGCUGGUACCAGGAAUGGUUGGUCGGGAACACUAAAGUCACUCUAGGUAUUUUGGGUAGAAGGAGAUUCAUUGCAGGGAACUCUAGGCUUACAGAAAUGUUGAGAACUUUGGGGACUGAAGGUUAUUUCAGGAGAUCUGGAAGUGCAGGGAUAGAAGGGUAGCAUCCAUUGCCCCCUGAUAACUGUACCACUGACAUGGCUAGAAACCACCCCAGUGAUCCCAGCUGCUUGUAGCACCUCAGGGUGAUUCUCAAACUGACUCCAGAAGCCAAGGUACACUGCUGCCAAUGACUGCAGGGGCCUCUGCAAAACGGACGUUGAUGAAUGAAACAAAGUGUGAUCUACCCAUAGCAGGGAAUGUUAUUCAUCCUUAAAAAGGAAGGAAAUCCUGCAGCUCACGCCUGUC